AACGAACGCUGGCGGCAUGCCUAACACAUGCAAGUCGAACGAGACCUUCGGGUCUAGUGGCGCACGGGUGCGUAACGCGUGGGAACCUGCCCUUAGGUUCGGAAUAACUCCCCGAAAGGGGUGCUAAUACCGGAUAAUGUCUUCGGACCAAAGAUUUAUCGCCUUUGGAUGGGCCCGCGUUGGAUUAGCUAGUUGGUAGGGUAAAAGCCUACCAAGGCGACGAUCCAUAGCUGGUCUGAGAGGAUGAUCAGCCACACUGGGACUGAGACACGGCCCAGACUCCUACGGGAGGCAGCAGUGGGUAAUAUUGGACAAUGGGCGAAAGCCUGAUCCAGCAAUGCCGCGUGAGUGAUUAAGGCCUUAGGGUUGUAAAGCUCUUUUACCCGGGAUGAUAAUGACAGUACCGGGAGAAUAAGCUCCGGCUAACUCCGUG
rnacentral:rRNA from 1 species